UACAGAGGCCUCGAGCGUUGUUCGGAAUUACUGGGCGUAAAGGGAAUGUAGGUGGUCAUGUAAGUCAGAUGUGAAAGCCCUGGGCUUAACCUGGGAAGUGCAUUUGAUACUGCUUGGCUGGAGUGCGAGAGAGGAAAGCGGAAUUCCAGGUGUAGGAGUGAAAUCCGUAGAUAUCUGGAGGAAUACCGAUGGUGAAGACAGCUUUCUGGCUCGCAACUGACACUGAGAUUCGAAAGCAUGGGUAGCAAACAGG
rnacentral:rRNA from 1 species